rnacentral:rRNA from 1 species
UACGGAGGAUGCGAGCGUUAUCCGGAUUUAUUGGGUUUAAAGGGUGCGUAGGCGGCCUGUUAAGUCAGCGGUGAAAUCUAGGAGCUUAACUCCUAAAUUGCCAUUGAUACUGGCGGGCUUGAGUGUAGAUGAGGUAGGCGGAAUGCGUGGUGUAGCGGUGGAAUGCAUAGAUAUCACGCAGAACUCCAAUUGCGAAGGCAGCUUACUAAGGUACAACUGACGCUGAAGCACGAAAGCGUGGGUAUCAAACAGG